rnacentral:lncRNA from 1 species
CUGAGCCAACUUUGUACCGGCUCUUAACAGCAACCCUUUAGGGCAUGUCAUACAACAAGAUGAAAAGAGGCUGAGUUACUGGACCACCUUGAGGAAGAGAGCCUUUUGAAUCACUCCGAUGUGAGAGGAAUAAACUGCCUGCCAUGUCCUGGCCAUUAUUAUUUUGGACACUUUUUUUUUUGUCUUUUCUAGGGCCGCACCUGUGGCAUAUGGAGGUUCCCAGGCUAGGGGUCUAAUUAGAGCUGUAGCCGCAGGUCUACGCCAGAGCCAAAGCAACUCAGGAUCCGAGCUGCGUCUGCAAUCUACCACCCACAGCUCAGGGCAACUCCAGAUCCUUAACCCACUAAGAAAGGCCAAGGAUCAAACCCGCAACCUCAUGGUUCCUAGUCGGAUUUGUUAACCACUGAACCACUACGGGAACUCCAGGACACUUUCUUUUCAAAUUUUUUUUCUUUUUUUCUUUUUUCUUUUGCCUCCCCUGCAGCAUUUGGAAGUUUCCGGGCCAGGGAUCAAAUCUGAGCUGACUGCACCAGGGUGGGAUCUAACAGGUGCCUCCACAGCGACAAGCUAGAUCAUUAGCCCACUGAGCCACAGUAGGAACUCCCUAUUUUGGACACUUUCAAAGUAGUCAAACCAAUCUUCUAAUUUCUAUAAUAACAUCUUUGGAAUCAAGGUAAUUUUUGUUAAAUCUUUUUUUUUUUUUCUUUCUGUGGAUUUAUGCUCAGAUGGUUUCAAAUGAACAACUCUGAGGGCUUGAAGAUACACAAGGCAACAUCCUUUACCUCGUUCUGGGAUCCAAAGCAGGAUCCAGAAUCACACUUAAUCUUGAGCUUCUCAGAUCCUUCUGGGCCAAAUUUAGAGCACAGGCCAUUCACAGACCAUUCUCCAGUCCAUCUGAGGUUAAGAAGAUUGAAAUGAGAGCCUCAAAGUGCCAGUUCCAGGACUGGAUCAGUCAUUAAUGAAAAGCUAGGCCUGUCCAGUGGAUGGUUGUGGGGAUCAAACUUGAAAGCACUCUGCAAAUGAUGGAGAACUCUCCUUUAGUGAGAUCAUUUAUUCAUUCAUCAAUCACCCAGAAAACCUUUCUUGAGUGCCAGCCACAUCUGAGACACUGGGUUAGGCACAGGCCCGCAUAGCUCAUGCUUCUCAGACCUAGCAGGUCUGGUCUUGCAAAGCCGACCAUUAAGUAUUUAUCAAAUACCUACCAGGGCCUAUGACACUAAUGAUGGGCUUACCAUCAGAGUGUAUGCCAUGAAUAUUCCACUUUGGGCCAGAGAGAGUUAAUGUGCUGUCACUGCCUCCCUGAUGCCUGGAGAGCCCACAUCACUCAGUGAAGACUACGGAUGCAUUAGGCUCAAUGUAUGUAUUUUCUUUUCCUCUCUGUUUAUGUCUCUGUUUUCUGUAAAGUCUCCUAAACUGCAGCAGUAUCUACCAAGUUCUCUGACAGUGCUAUAAAUUUCAUUAAGAAGAUGAAGCCUUAUGGGGCAAUUAACUCCAAAAGUGGUACAGAGCAAUAGCAGGAGAUACUGGCCUGUAGUACUUAGCACUUAGCUCUGAAAUUGAGAUAAGCCCUAUCAACUCGGGGUUGUGUUUAAUGUUCACUGCCGCUUCCACACCACAGCUACAACCCAGCGGUCACUGUGUUAACACUCCCCAAUAUCUAUUACAAUUAGUUUUUGAUUAAGAGGCCUAACAUGGCUUUUGAAGCCUUUUAUGUUGUGUCAAAUGGCUAGUGAUGGAGUGAGAUGGUCGGACACCUCCCAGUAACAAAGCAUCUUGUAAAAGGUUUCAAGUGAACUAUUUUAUCAUCCUAAUGGAAACCAGAUGACUCUAACUCCCCCCUUAAUUUCAACUAUUUACUGAAGAGUCCUUGUUUUGAAUUACUUAAAGAUUUAUUCUUAAACGACGACCUCAUGCAUCA